AUUGAACGCUGGCGGCAGGCCUAACACAUGCAAGUCGAACGAGCGGCGGACGGGUGAGUAAUGUCUGGGAAACUGCCUGAUGGAGGGGGAUAACUACUGGAAACGGUAGCUAAUACCGCAUACCAUCAGAUGUGCCCAGAUGGGAUUAGCUAGUGGGUGGGGUAAUGGCUCACCUAGGCGACGAUCCCCAGCUGGUCUGAGAGGAUGACCAGCCAAACUGGAACUGAGACACGGUCCAGACUCCUACGGGAGGCAGCAGUGGGGAAUAUUGCACAAUGGGCGCAAGCCUGAUACAGCCAUGCCGCGUGUGUGAAGAAGGCCUUCGGGUUGUAAAGGACUGUCAGCGAGGAGGCGUUACUCGCAGAAGAAGCACCGGCUAACUCCGUGCCAGCAGCCGCGGUAAUUC
rnacentral:rRNA from 1 species